UUUCCGUAGGUGAACCUGCGGAAGGAUCAUUAAAAAAUGUGGUACCGAUUGUUGGUACUAAUUAAUCAUCCUACCCUUUGUGAAUUUGUUUGUAAUGAAUUUUUUUAAAUGGGUCUUUCCCUAAGUUGGAUUGUAGUAAAAUACAAAAAGACUUAGGGGAAUGACUUUUUUAAAAGACUUUUUUUUAAUUAAAACUUUUUGUAUUCAUUUGUCUAAAAUUUAUUUUUAUAAUAUAAAAACAACUUUUGACAAUGGAUCUCUUGGUUCUCGCAACGAUGAAGAACGCAGCAAAAUGCGAUAAGUAGUGUGAAUUGCAGAAUACGUGAAUCAUCGAAUCUUCGAACGCAUAUUGCACUUUUUUAGUUUACUAAAAAAGUAUGUCUGUUUGAGUAUCAGUAAAAUAUUCUCACAAACAUAUAUUGUUUGUGGUAUGAGUGUUUUACAACGAUAAACAAGUUGUUUCACUUUAAAUUCUUUUGUAAUGAUUUUUACCAAUUCAUAAAUUAAAAUUGGAUAAAAUUUUCCUUUAACGAGGAAUAACCUAAACAAUUUUAAAUUUUUUGGUUUAUAAACAUUCAUAAAGGAAUCUAUACAUAAAUAACUUGAUCUCAGAUCAGAUAAGAGUACCCGCUGAACUUAAGCAUAUCAAUAAGCGGAGGAAAAGAAACUAACAAGGAUUCCCUUAGUAACGGCGAGUGAAGCGGGAAGAGCUCAAAUUUGAAAUCUUCAAGGUUUGACCUUGACGAAUUGUAGUUUAUAGAAGUGUUUUCUGUUGGAGUUUUGGUAAAAGUUCUUUGGAUAGGACAUCAUAGAGGGUGAGAAUCCCGUAUUUGACCAUGACUUUCCAGCUGUGUGAUACACUUUCAAAGAGUCGGAUUGUUUGGGAAUGCAGUCCAAAAUGGGUGGUAAAUUUCAUCUAAAGCUAAAUAUUGGCGAGAGACCGAUAGCGAACAAGUACCGUGAGGGAAAGAUGAAAAGAACUUUGAAAAGAGAGUUAAACAGUACGUGAAAUUGUCAAAAGGGAAGCGUUUGACACCAGUGUUGUUUUCUCGAAAAUCAAUUUAAUGAGUUCUUGUUUUUAAGUUAUUGUGACUUUAUCAGCGCAUUUCUUAUUUUACUUGACUCAUUGAAUGCACUUUUCGUUUAACAAGUCAACAUCAAUUUCUUUGGUGGUAAAAAGUUUAAAGGAAGGUGGCUUGGACUUCGGUUCAAGUGUUUAUAGCCUUUUUUCUAUGCCAUCGGAGAGAUUGAGGUCUGCAGCGUAGAUCCUUCGGGGUUAGAUACCUUUGUGCUAAGUUGUAGUUUUUUAUAGACAACUUGUUGACUAUAAUUAACCCUGUAAUUUACUCGCUUAGGCUAUUUUACCUACGCUUAGGAUGUUG
rnacentral:misc_RNA from 1 species